CAGUCGAGGGGCAGCGGAGAGGUAGCAAUACCUUUGCCGGCGACCGGCGCACGGUUGAGUAACACGUAUGCAAUCCACCUGUAACAGGGGGAUAACCCGGAGAAAUCCGGACUAAUACCCCAUAAUAUGGGCUCUCCGCAUGGAGGGUCCAUUAAAGAGAGCAAUUUUGGUUACAGACGAGCAUGCGCUCCAUUAGCCAGUUGGCGGGGUAACGGCCCACCAAAGCGACGAUGGAUAGGGGUUCUGAGAGGAAGGUCCCCCACAUUGGAACUGAGACACGGUCCAAACUCCUACGGGAGGCAGCAGUGAGGAAUAUUGGUCAAUGGUCGGCAGACUGAACCAGCCAAGUCGCGUGAGGGAAGACGGCCCUACGGGUUGUAAACCUCUUUUGUCGGAGAGUAAAGUACGCUACGUGUAGCGUAUUGCAAGUAUCCGAAGAAAAAGCAUCGGCUAACUCCGUGCCAGCAGCCGCGGUAAUACGGAGGAUGCAAGCGUUAUCCGGAUUUAUUGGGUUUAAAGGGUGCGUAGGCGGCACGCCAAGUCAGCGGUGAAAUUUCCGGGCUCAACCCGGACUGUGCCGUUGAAACUGGCGAGCUAGAGUGCACAAGAGGCAGGCGGAAUGCGUGGUGUAGCGGUGAAAUGCAUAGAUAUCACGCAGAACCCCGAUUGCGAAGGCAGCCUGCUAGGGUGCGACAGACGCUGAGGCACGAAAGCGUGGGUAUCGAACAGGAUUAGAUACCCUGGUAGUCCACGCAGUAAACGAUGAAUACUAACUGUUUGCGA
rnacentral:rRNA from 1 species